GAAAUCCGGAUUAAUACCCCAUAGUAUUUAAGCACGGCAUCGUGCUUUCAUUAAAGCUCCGGCGGUUAAGGAUGGGCAUGCGUGACAUUAGUUUGUUGGUGAGGUAACAGCUCACCAAGACUACGAUGUCUAUGGGGUCUGAGAGGAUGAUCCCACACACUGGUACUGAGACACGGACCAGACUCCUACGGGAGGCAGCAGUGAGGAAUAUUGGUCAAUGGACGAAAGUCUGAACCAGCCAUGCCGCGUGCAGGAUGACGGCCCUAUGGGUUGUAAACUGNUUUUAUACAGGAAGAAAUCCCUCUACGUGUAGAGGGUUGACUGUACUGUACGAAUAAGCAUCGGCUAACUCCGUGCCAGCAGCCGCGGUAAUACGGAGGAUGCAAGCGUUAUCCGGAUUCAUUGGGUUUAAAGGGUGCGUAGGCGGGGUAAUAAGUCAGUGGUGAAAUCCUGCGGCUCAACCGUAGAACUGCCAUUGAUACUGUUACCCUUGAGUAUAGUUGAAGUGGGCGGAAUAUGUAAUGUAGCGGUGAAAUGCAUAGAU
rnacentral:rRNA from 1 species